rnacentral:rRNA from 1 species
UACGUAGGGUGCGAGCGUUAAUCGGAAUUACUGGGUGUAAAGGGUUCGUAGGCGGUGUGGCAAGUCGGGAGUGAAAUCUCUGGGCUCAACCCAGAGACUGCUUCCGAAACUGCUGUGCUUGAGUGUGAGAGAGGCUCGUGGAAUUGCAGGUGUAGCGGUGAAAUGCGUAGAUAUCUGCAGGAACACCCGUGGCGAAAGCGGCGAGCUGGAUCACUACUGACGCUGAGGAACGAAAGCUAGGGGAGCAAACAGG